UACAGAGGUCUCAAGCGUUGUUCGGAUUCAUUGGGCGUAAAGGGUGCGUAGGCGGCGCGGUAAGUCGGGUGUGAAAUCUCGGAGCUUAACUCCGAAAACUGCAUUCGAUACUGCCGUGCUUGAGGACUGGAGAGGAGACUGGAAUUUACGGUGUAGCGGUGAAAUGCGUAGAUAUCGUAAGGAAGACCAGUGGCGAAGGCGGGUCUCUGGACAGUUCCUGACGCUGAGGCACGAAGGCCAGGGGGAGCAAAACGGGG
rnacentral:rRNA from 1 species